AGAGAGAGACAUGCGCGCAUAUCAAUAAGCGGAGGAAAAGAAACUAACAAGGAUUCCCCUAGUAACGGCGAGUGAAGCGGGAAGAGCUCAAAUUUGAAAUCUUAAAGGGUUUCCCUUACGAAUUGUAGUUUAAAGAAGUGUUUUCUGUUGAGGUUUUGGUAAAAGUUCUUUGGAAUAGGACAUCAUAGAGGGUGAGAAUCCCGUAUUUGACCUUUACUUUCAACUUUGUGAUACACUUUCAAAGAGUCGGAUUGUUUGGGAAUGCAGUCCAAAAUGGGUGGUAAAUUUCAUCUAAAGCUAAAUAUUGGCGAGAGACCGAUAGCGAACAAGUACCGUGAGGGAAAGAUGAAAAGAACUUUGAAAAGAGAGUUAAACAGUACGUGAAAUUGUCAAAAGGGAAGCGUUUGACACCAGUGUUGUUUUUCUGAAAAUCAAUUAAAGAACUGUUUAUGCUAAGUUGUUUAGACUUUAUCAGCUAACUGUUUAGUUUUGAGCUUUUCUUUAAUGCACUUUUCAGUUAACAAGUCAACAUCAAUUUCUUUUGCUGUAAAAAAGCUUGAGGAAGGUGGCUUGAGAUUCGUCUUAAGUGUUUAUAGCCUCUUGCCUAUGCAGUCGGAGAGAUUGAGGUCUGCAGCGUAGAUCCUUCGGGGCUAAAUGCAUUUGUGCUAAGUUAUAGCAUUUUAUAGACAACUUGUUGACUAUGAUUUGUCUUGUAGCUUACUCGCUUAUGUUAUUUUACCUACGCUUAGGAUGUUGAGCGCAUGUCUCUCUCU
rnacentral:rRNA from 1 species